AGUUUAACAGUCACAGGGGACGUUUUCUUUCUUUUAAUACUUAAAGUACAUUUUCCUGAUUAUACUUAUGUAACCCACCCAACAUUUUCAUCAACAUCAUCAUCAUAAUCAUCAUAAUGUGACAUGUAGCAUAAUUAUACAAGCUCACUUGAAUUUAAGUUUGGAAGAAAUGUGUUAAGUGUUAAAUUGAUUUCUGAGUUCUCUGUUUCACUAUCUAAUCAGACACAGAUAGUCCAGGCUGAGCCACUUUGUUUUACUGGAGUCAUUUAUGUUCAGCCUUUUACAGCAGGUAAAUGGUAAUGACCUGUAGGUGGCAGCUGUAGAGGGAGGAGACGAGAAGUGAGCUCUCUGGAAGAAGAGGAACAUAAGAUCCAGUCCUGGGGAUUUUCCAACGUGGUGUCUGAAAACUUGUAUCUGUUGAAAUAGAUGUUUUUACAUUCAGAGAAGAAGAUGAAGAUGAAGAUGAAGAUGAAGAUGAAGAUGAAGGUGAAGAUGAAGAAGAAGAUGAAGAUGAAGGUGAAGAUGAAGAUGAAGGUGAAGAUGAAGAAGAAUUAGUUAAGAUUUGAUAAAGUUCUGUGGCCAGUGUUUAAUGAUUUAACCGUGGUUAAGUUUGGUUUUUAGCUCACAUGUAUGAAGGUGUAAUGUGUUUGAGUCCAGCCUGUUUGUAACUAAGAGCCGCGGUGGGUUUUCUUCUUUUCGCUGCUCUGCUGUAGAGGGAGGAGACGAGAAGUUAGCUCUCUGGAAGAAAAGGAACAUAAGAUCCUGACCUGGGGAUUUUACAACGUGGUGUCUGAAACCUGUUAUCUGUUGAAAUAGGCCGGACUGUGAGAGAGGUGUGGUGGUGACCUGGUGGUGUGAAGGAGGAGCAGAGCGGUUCCACUCUACAUAGAUCUCUACAUAGAUCUCUACAUAGAUC